rnacentral:lncRNA from 1 species
CAGGAAAUUCUAGUAGUUCACUAAUAAUUCUGUCUUUAUUCCCAGGUAGAAGGUAAACAGAGUUGGUCUGUUUAUAUGAAACCAUAUUUUAAGCCUCUCAAGAAAUCCCCAAUCACAGAUUCUUCUGAUUAACAGAGAUAAUGCUUAUUAUAUUAAGCACCAUGUUACUCUGGAAUGAAGAAACAAAGAGUACAAAACUGCCACUCUGCAUGUACAUCAAUUUUUCCAGCGACCUAAGAGAAGAGAUCACAGGAUUUGGGACAUUUAGAAGAUUUCCAUCAUUAUUUGGCUUUGGAUCACACCAGAAGUGGUGGAGCACAGGAGCCCUUACCCUGCUUGCUAAGGACUUUCUCCCAGCUCUUUCU